AUGGUGUCGAUCGCAGCUGGUUCGGCCGCUCAUCCAGAGUGGCCGAGGCAAGAGGGAACCCGGUGGAAUUCCGGGACUGUCCCGCAGCGGUGAGUGGGAACGACAGCCGACAUCAGCACUGGGCCGACACGGCCUGGGAAGCGACGGCCAGUAGGAGACCGGUGAGCCCGGUCGUGCCCGCGAGUCCGAAGACCUGCCAGCGCGCCGUUCACCCG
rnacentral:ncRNA from 2 species